UACGAAGGGGGCUAGCGUUGCUCGGAAUUACUGGGCGUAAAGCGCACGUAGGCGGCUUUCUAAGUCGGGGGUGAAAUCCUGGAGCUCAACUCCAGACCUGCCUUCGAUACUGGAGAGCUUGAGUCCGGGAGAGGUGAGUGGAACUGCGAGUGUAGAGGUGAAAUUCGUAGAUAUUCGCAAGAACACCAGUGGCGAAGGCGGCUCACUGGUCCGGUACUGACGCUGAGGUGCGAAAGCGUGGGGAGCAAACAGG
rnacentral:rRNA from 1 species